AUACGGAGGGUGCAAGCGUUAAUCGGAAUUGCUGGGCGUAAAGCGCGCGUAGGCGGCUGAUUAAGUCGGAUGUGAAAUCCCUGGGCUCAACCUAGGAACUGCAUCCGAUACUGGUCAGCUAGAGUUUUGGAGAGGUAAGUGGAAUUUCCGGUGUAGCGGUGAAAUGCAUAGAGAUCGGAAGGAACACCAGUGGCGAAGGCGACUUACUGGCCAAAAACUGACGCUGAGGUGCGAAAGCGUGGGUAGCGAACAGGAUUAGAUACCCUAGUAGUCC
rnacentral:rRNA from 1 species